rnacentral:rRNA from 1 species
GUAUACAAUCUGCCUUGUACUGGGGGAUAGCCUUUAGAAAUGAAGAUUAACACCCCAUAACAUAUUUAGGCCGCAUGUCUUUAUAUUAAAGGUUACGGUACAAGAUGAGUAUGCGUCCUAUUAGCUAGUUGGUAUGGUAACGGCAUACCAAGGCAACGAUAGGUAGGGGCCCUGAGAGGGGGAUCCCCCACACUGGUACUGAGACACGGACCAGACUCCUACGGGAGGCAGCAGUGAGGAAUAUUGGACAAUGGGGGGAACCCUGAUCCAGCCAUGCCGCGUGCAGGAAGACUGCCCUAUGGGUUGUAAACUGCUUUUGUACGGGAAGAAACCGCUCUACGCGUAGAGCCUUGACGGUACCGUAAGAAUAAGCAUCGGCUAACUCCGUGCCAGCAGCCGCGGUAAUACGGAGGAUGCAAGCGUUAUCCGGAAUCAUUGGGUUUAAAGGGUCCGUAGUGGGCCGGUCAGUCAGAGGUGAAAUCCUGCAGCUCAACUGUAGAACUGCCUUUGAUACUGCCGGUCUUGAAUCGUUGUGAAGUGGUUAGAAUAUGUAGUGUAGCGGUGAAAUGCAUAGAUAUUACAUAGAAUACCGAUUGCGAAGCAGAUCACUAACAGCGUAUUGACACUGAUGGACGAAAGCGUAGGUAGCGAACGGGAUUAGAUACCCCGGUAGUCUACGCCGUAAACGAUGGAUACUAGCUGUCCGGCUUCGGCUGGGUGGCUAAGCGAAAGUGAUAAGUAUCCCACCUGGGGAGUACGUUCGCAAGAAUGAAACUCAAAGGAAUUGACGGGGGCCC